rnacentral:rRNA from 1 species
UACGAAGGGGGCUAGCGUUCCUCGGAAUUAUUGGGCGUAAAGCGUGCGUAGGCUGUUAAGUAAGUUAAGAGUGAAAUCACAGGGCUCAACCUUGGAACUGCUUUUAAAACUGCUUAACUAGAGUCUUGGAGAGGAUAGCAGAAUUCCUAGUGUAGAGGUGAAAUUCGUAGAUAUUAGGAGGAAUACCGGAGGUGAAAGCGGCUAUCUGGACAAGUACUGACGCUGUUGCACGAAAGCGUGUGGAGCAAACAGG